rnacentral:rRNA from 1 species
GACGAACGCUGGCGGCGUGCUUAACACAUGCAAGUCGAACGAGGUCCAAGCAGUCGCAAGACUGCGGAAGACCGAGUGGCGAACGGGUGCGUAACACGUGAGGAACUUGUCCCGGUCUCUGGAAUAACAGGUGGAAACACCUGCUAAUACCGGAUGCCGUCGGACCAUCGCAUGGUGGACUGACGAAAGGGUUACCGGAUCGGGAGAGCCUCGCGGCCUAUCAGCUUGUUGGUGAGGUAACGGCUCACCAAGGCAUCGACGGGUAGCUGGUCUGAGAGGAUGAUCAGCCACACUGGGACUGAGACACGGCCCAGACUCCUACGGGAGGCAGCAGUGGGGAAUCUUGCACAAUGGGCGAAAGCCUGAUGCAGCAACGCCGCGUGCGGGAAGAAGGCCCUAGGGUUGUAAACCGCUUUCAGCAGGGAAGAAGAUGACGGUACCUGUAGAAGAAGGUGCGGCCAACUACGUGCCAGCCGCCGCCGUAAGAC